GGUUGCAAUUUGACAGGGUGUUGAGGAAAUUGCGCUAUAAAUUUAGUUUCUGGUUAGGGUUUUCGGGGAAGGGUCGUCUUGAGGGUUCUUUUGAUUUUUUCUGCAAUGGAUCUUACCAAGAAACGGAAGGCUGACGAGAACGGUGGAGCGUACUCUACAAGUGUGGAGUAUGGGAAUACUGGGGCUGAUGUGUCGCAGGCGCCGAUGGGCACUAUGUAUCCCGAAGAUGCUGAGAAGAUUCUCGAACCCUUCACGAAGGAACAGCUCCUUCCUAUCCUGCGUGCUGCCGUACUCCGUCAUCCCGAUGUGUUGGAGGCGGUGCGUGCCGUUGCUGACGCUGACCCGGUUCAGCGUAAACUAUUUGUCCGUGGGCUUGGGUGGGAAACCACGACGGAGAAACUCCGGGAAGCGUUCUCUACGUACGGCGAACUGGAUGAGGCUAAUACUAUCGUGAUUACCGAUAAGGGUACUGGAAAAUCUAAGGGGUAUGGCUUCGUAACCUUUAAGCACAUCGAUGCAGCAAUUAUGGCUCUCAAAGAGCCGAAUAAGAAGAUCGACGGGCGUAUUACGGUGGCUCAGCUUGCGGCCACUGGAAAUUCGAACAAUUCUUACUCUGUCGAUGUGGCGUCGAGGAAGAUUUAUGUUGGUAAUAUCCCAUUUGAAAUUUCCUCAGAGCGGUUGUUGUCUCACUUUGCGAUGUAUGGUGACAUCGAGGAAGGGCCGCUAGGGUUUGACAAACAAAGUGGUAAGGCCAAGGGAUUCGCGUUUUUUGUCUAUAAGACUGAGGAGGGUGCAAGAGCGUCACUGGUUGAUCCCAUGAAGAUUAUCGAUGGACAUCAGGUUAUCUGUAAGUUGGCUACAGAUAACAAGAAACAGAAGCCAAAUAUGGCUCCACCUGGUGGGAUGGGUUCGGGAAUGCCUAAUUCUGGACCAAUGGGAAUGGCGCCACCGAAUUAUGGAAUGGGAGGAGGUUAUAUGGGCUAUGGACCGGGGCCAAAUAUGCCACAGCCUCCUCCACAGCAGGGGGGAAUGGUUCAUCAGAAUGCGGCCUACAAUACAGGAAUGGGCGGUCCUGGUGGGCAAGGUUAUGGUACUGGAUAUGGGGCUGGUGGAUCAAUGUAUGAUGGAGGGGUUGGACCUGGAGAGUAUGGUGGAGGAUUAGGAAGUGCUGGAGGUUACAGAAUGCCCCCUAGUGGCGGGGUGCAGAGCUUAGGAGGGUACCCGGAUGGUGGGAACUACGGGGUUCAAAGUGGAUAUCCAUCUCAACCAAGCCACCCUACUGGCCCUGGGCCAAGGCAUCCUCAUUACCAGACUAUGCCACCGUAUUGAGGGUUUGAUCCCCACUUCUGGAUAUAGGGUACACUGGGAAGCAAGUAUUGCAAUGCUGCUGUGCAAAUGUAGCUGAAGCAGAAGCAUCUACACUUUUCAGACACUUCCAAUGUUCACAUUAAUUGGAAGGUACUUUUCUAUUUCCAUUUGCAAAUCUUGACUAAAUGUUCUGGUCAAUAAGAAUCAAUAUGGGAAAUUUUACAAGGACCAAAACUAUUGGAUCAUGGAAAAAGGUAUUGUCUGCUAUCCUUGUUGAAACAAAUGGUGAUUUUUGCUUUGGUCUAGACUGAUGGGCAGGAUUGCAUUCCCAGUCUGAUAUGUCAAAGGUUUAAUGAAAUUACAUAUGCUAAGUGAAGAUAAAUAGUAUUCUGCAGAGCACUUGCUUGUCAUCAAUAUCCCUCUGGAGCCUCAUGUAUCCUUCCACCUCCCAAGUGGUACCCCAGGAGCUCGUAAGUACCAGUGCUAAAGUUUGGUUCAGUACCAUAGUGGAUCACAACUCCAUAGUCCAAGCUCGUGCAACACUGGCCUGUGAAAACACCACUUGAAUAAAACUGGAAGGCUGGUGCGCUUGCAUCUGGACUAACAGCAAAUGGUUGUUCCCCAACUAUGUGCAUCCUCAUUCUCUGCAGGUUAAGAAUGGCUGCUGUGGACAAACUUGUUCUUAUUGAAGUGUUCAUUUCUGCAAUGUGGGAUUUGCAAUUCAUGGCCUGCUUGCAUCGGGCAUCAAUGGUUUUGACACAAAACAAUGAAACAGAAGAUGAUUUGGAGAAAGGUAUGAGAUCCAAACAUAUCCUCCAAGUGCAUUGAAUUGUGCUAUAGAAGGCAGGGAUAUCCGUACUUGCAAGUUUGGACGGUCAUAUCACCUAAUGAGCUGCAAAAAAUGUGGAGUCUAUACAGAAUGGAUCUACUCCCUAAACUUGAGAUCCAACUGUGGAGUCAGAGAUGCCAAGCCAAUAUGAAGAAAGAGAUCAGACCAUUGUAUCAAUACUGCUGAAGGGCCCUGUGGCAUUUUUGAUUCAGGCAUUUUCUUACCCCACUGCUGAAAGCGGUUUGAACUCAAGACAACAAACAAUAAUUACCCUCUUGUCUGUUAGUAUACGUGUGUGGCUAAUUUAGUGUGUGCUAGUUGAUGCAGGGUCGUGCAGAAUUCUGGAAGUCGUCGACACAUGACCUCAAAUAAUAUGCCGACGAAAUCAAUCGAAUUGAAUCGCUCAAAGGUGCACCCUCUCCCUGAUCUGAUAAGAUUGUUCUUCUUUAAGAUUGAAAUAUAAUCCCUCCAUCACCACAUGUAUGAUAAUUUGUAAUAUUUGCUCUUGUUUUAUAUAAUACAAUACAAAUUUUGUUAAUGCCAUGACUCCACUGAUUGAUUGAUGA